GAUCCUGGCUCAGGAUGAACGCUAGCUACAGGCUUAACACAUGCAAGUCGAGGGGCAGCAUGUUGGUUGCUUGCAACCAAUGAUGGCGACCGGCGCACGGGUGAGUAACGCGUAUCCAACCUACCCUUGUCCAUCGGAUAACCCGUCGGAAAGGCGGCCUAACACGAUAUGCGGUUCACAGCAGGCAUCUAACGUGAACGAAAUGUAAAGGAGAAGGGAAUGGGGAUGCGUCUGAUUA
rnacentral:rRNA from 1 species